ACGCUGGCGGCGUGCCUAACACAUGCAAGUCGAACGGAGAAUUUUAUUUCGGUAGAAUUCUUAGUGGCGAACGGGUGAGUAACGCGUAGGCAACCUGCCCUUUAGACGGGGACAACAUUCCGAAAGGAGUGCUAAUACCGGAUGUGAUCAUCUUGCCGCAUGGCAGGAUGAAGAAAGAUGGCCUCUACAAGUAAGCUAUCGCUAAAGGAUGGGCCUGCGUCUGAUUAGCUAGUUGGUAGUGUAACGGACUACCAAGGCGAUGAUCAGUAGCCGGUCUGAGAGGAUGAACGGCCACAUUGGGACUGAGACACGGCCCAAACUCCUACGGGAGGCAGCAGUGGGGAAUCUUCCGCAAUGGACGAAAGUCUGACGGAGCAACGCCGCGUGAGUGAUGAAGGAUUUCGGUCUGUAAAGCUCUGUUGUUUAUGACGAACGUGCAGUGUGUGAACAAUGCAUUGCAAUGACGGUAGUAAACGAGGAAGCCACGGCUAACUACGUGCCAGCAGCCGCGGUAAUACGUAGGUGGCGAGCGUUGUCCGGAAUUAUUGGGCGUAAAGAGCAUGUAGGCGGCUUAAUAAGUCGAGCGUGAAAAUGCGGGGCUCAACCCCGUAUGGCGCUGGAAACUGUUAGGCUUGAGUGCAGGAGAGGAAAGGGGAAUUCCCAGUGUAGCGGUGAAAUGCGUAGAUAUUGGGAGGAACACCAGUGGCGAAGGCGCCUUUCUGGACUGUGUCUGACGCUGAGAUGCGAAAGCCAGGGUAGCGAACGGGGAUUAGAUACCCCGGUAGUCCUGGCCGUAAACGAUGGGUACUAGGUGUAGGAGGUAUCGACCCCUUCUGUGCCGGAGUUAA
rnacentral:rRNA from 1 species